CCUGCCCGCCCGGGGCGGCGCUGCAGGGCCCGGCGCAGCCGCGGGGGGAGCAAGCGGGUGUCUGCGGCGGUUGCCGGCCCGGCCCGGCCUGGUACGGCCCGGCCCGCCGGCUGAGCGCCGCCCCACGCCCGCAGCCUGGCUCGGGCUCCCUCCCCUGCCCGGGGGAAGCAGGGCUGGUGAAGGGGACUCAAAGGAUCCCAGGACGAGCCCCCCGGGGGCGGAUCAACAGUGAUUCGGGCGCUGGCGGAGCAGAAAAGCGGAGCCCCCCACCCGAGACGCGCAGGUUUCCUCUGCACUGACUGGGGGCUGCGGCUGCCCCCCUGCGGCCUCCUGCGUCUGAGAGUUUCCAGCUUCAUGGGGAUGACUCGCCUUUUAUUUUUACUCUCUUCCUUAAUAUGAUCUAAUCCAUAUUUAUAGAAGACUCAGCUGACAAUCUUUAUCAAUUUUCUUUUGCAAAUUUGAAGCAAUUUUUUAUGCACAGAAGGCUUUAUUUUUGUAUACUGCUUUACCUGUGUUUCUCCUUUCCCCAUAAAAGUGACCUACUGGAGCACCAUGUGAAGAAUCCAGGUCUGGAAGAGCAGGUUUCCCUCAUUUGCAAAUUUCAGGAUUUCUACAGCCUGUCUUUUCCACACUAGAGAUUGUAUUCUGGAAGCACGCUAAGACCAUGUUAUUUUUAGAAGAGAGAUCAAGUAUGGGGCCUGCCAGCUUUGACACUGUUCCUUUAAAGGAAUUACUAGUAUAUCCAAACAGCAAUUUCCUGAAUUGUGUCUGUUUGUAAAAAAUCAAUUUAUAGGACUAGUACUUUGUUUUAUAGUCAUAAUUACUUUAGAAGAGGUUUUAAAUUAUGAUAAGGAUACUUUAGAUGAAAGUGCAAAUUAAUUAUGAACUUAACUUUUGUUAAAUAAAUGAAAACAUUUUUCAA